UGGGGAAUUUUGGACAAUGGGCGCAAGCCUGAUCCAGCAAUGCCGCGUGCAGGAAGAAGGCCUUCGGGUUGUAAACUGUUUUUGUCAGGGAAGAAAUCUUCUGGGCUAAUACCCCGGGAGGAUGACGGUACCUGAAGAAUAAGCACCGGCUAACUACGUGCCAGCAGCCGCGGUAAUACGUAGGGUGCGAGCGUUAAUCGGAAUUACUGGGCGUAAAGCGUGCGCAGGCGGUUAUGUAAGACAGAUGUGAAAUCCCCGGGCUCAACCUGGGAACUGCAUUUGUGACUGCAUGACUGGAGUGCGGCAGAGGGGGGAUGGAAUUCCGCGUGUAGCAGUGAAAUGCGUAGAUAUGCGGAGGAACACCGAUGGCGAAGGCAAUCCCCUGGGCCUGCACUGACGCUCAUGCACGAAAGCGUGGGGAGCAAACAGGAUUAGAUACCCUGGUAGUCCACGCCCUAAACGAUGUCAACUGGUUGUUGGACGGCUUGCUGUUCAGUAACGAAGCUAACGCGUGAAGUUGACCGCCUGGGGAGUACGGCCGCAAGGUUGAAACUUAAAUGAAUUGACGGGGUCAUAGCUGUUUCCU
rnacentral:rRNA from 1 species